rnacentral:hammerhead_ribozyme from 1 species
ACACUGCUGUGGAGUCCCACAAUUGGACGAAACGGCCGUCCAGUGC